AGUGAACGCUGGCGGUAGGCCUAACACAUGCAAGUCGAACGGCAGCACAGGAGAGCUUGCUCUCUGGGUGGCGAGUGGCGGACGGGUGAGGAAUACAUCGGAAUCUACUCUGUCGUGGGGGAUAACGUAGGGAAACUUACGCUAACACCGCAUACGACCUACGGGUGAAAGCAGGGGACCUUCGGGCCUUGCGCGAUUGAAUGAGCCGAUGUCGGAUUAGCUAGUUGGCGGGGUAAAGGCCCACCAAGGCGACGAUCCGUAGCUGGUCUAGAGGGUGAACCGCCACACGGGAACGGAGACACAGUCCAGACUCCUACGGGAGGCAGCAGUGGGGAAUAUUGGACAAUGGGCGAAAGCCUGAUCCAGCCAUACCGCGUGGGUGAAGAAGGCCUUCGGGUUGUAAAGCCCUUUUGUUGGGAAAGAAAUCCAGCUGGCUAAUACCCGGUUGGGAUGACGGUACCCAAAGAAUAAGCACCGGCUAACUUCGUGCCAGCCGCCGCGGUAA
rnacentral:rRNA from 1 species